AGUCAAGGAAGUAAGGGCAUACGGUGGAUGCCUUGGCACAGGAGGCCGAUGAAGGGCGCAGCAAGCCUGCGAUAGGCUCCGGGGAGCUGCAAGCAAGCGUUGAUCCGGAGAUUCCCGAAUGGGGCAACCCGAUAUUCCUGAUAAGGGAAUAUCAUCUCUACCUGAAUUAAUAGGGUAGAGAGGGCAAGCAGGGGAAGUGAAACAUCUCAGUACCCUGAGGAAAAGAAAGAAAACUCGAUUCCCUGAGUAGCGGCGAGCGAAAGGGGAAGAGCCCAAACCAACUAGGUGUUAAAGCCUUGGGGCGUUGCCUAGUUGGGGUUGUAGGAAUGGCUCAUUAGAGAGCCCAAGCUCUCUAGGGAAGUUACAAAAGAAUUGCUUAGCCGAAUAACCUGGGAAGGUUAGCCAAAGUGGGUGAAAGCCCCGUAGGCAAAAAGCAAUUCUCUUCCCGAGCCAUAUCCUGAGUACCACGGGACUCGUGAAAUCCUGUGGGAAGCAGGGAGGACCACCUCCCAAGGCUAAAUACCUCCGUGACCGAUAGUGAACAUAGUACCGUGAGGGAAAGGUGAAAAGAACCCCGGAAGGGGAGUGAAAUAGAACCUGAAACCGUAUGCCUACAAACCGUGGGAGGACUAUGUCAAGAUUUUCUUGACAGUCUGACCACGUGCCUAUUGAAGAAUGAGCCAGCGAGUUACUGACUACGGCGAGGUUAAGGACUAGAGUCCGUAGCCGUAGCGAAAGCGAGUCUGAAAAGGGCGCUUAGUCGUAGUCAGUAGACCCGAAGCCGGGUGACCUACCCAUGGCCAGGUUGAAGUGGGAUUAAACUCCCAUGGAGGACCGAACCAGUCAGGGGUGAAAUCCUGUUGGAUGAGCUGUGGGUAGAGGAGAAAUUCCAACCGAACCCGGGGAUAGCUGGUUCUCCCCGAAAUGCAUUUAGGUGCAGCCCCAGGUUAAAUGAAGAGUGGGGGUAGAGCACUGGAUGGGCUAGGGGCCCUUUGGGCUACCGAACCCAACCAAACUCCGAAUACCACUCUUUCUUAUCCUGGGAGUGAGAAAGCGGGGGAAAAGCUCCGUUUUCGAGAGGGCAACAGCCCAGAUCACCCGCUAAGGUCCCUAAUGGAAGCUAAGUGUUUUUGAUAAGGAAGUGGGGCUACUUAGACAGCUAGGAGGUUGGCUUAGAAGCAGCCAUCCUUUAAAGAGUGCGUAACAGCUCACUAGUCGAGUGGCCCUGCGCCGAAAAUGUACGGGACUAAGCUUCCAACCGAAGCGGUGGAUCAGGAUAAAAAUCUUUUGAUUUUUAUCCUGGUGGUAGGGGAGCGUUCCUACUGCGGUGAAGGUACACCGUAAGGAGUACUGGAGCGGUAGGAAGUGAGAAUGCUGGCUUGAGUAACGAAAAGAAGGAUGAGAAUUCCUUCCGCCGUAAGUCUAAGGUUUCCUGGGGAAGGUUCGUCCGCCCAGGGUUAGUCGGUCCUAAGUCGAGGCCGAAAGGCGUAGACGAUGGGCAGCCGGUUAAUAUUCCGGCACCACCUAACCUUCGUAAAAAGCGAAGGGGUGGUCGAGAAGGAUAGGUCUGCAGGGUGAUGGAAUACCCUGUCCAAGCCUGUAGGUGGCGUCUCUAGGCAAAUCCGGAGACGCAUUAACACCGAGAGGUGAUGGGGAGCCACUGGGUAACCAGCGGCGAAGUGACUGAUUCCAUGCUCGCGAGAAAAACCUCGUAGCAUUGAAGGUUAGGUGACCGUACCGCAAACCAACACAGGUAGACUGGGAUAAAUGUCCCAAGGCGCGCGGAAGAACUCUCGUCAAGGAACUCGGCAAUCUAACCCCGUACCUACGGAAGAAGGGGUGCUCUCCUCGGUGUAAGUAAUUUCUACUGAAGCUGAGGAGAGUCGCAGGUAAUCGGCUCGGGCGACUGUUUAACAAAAACACAGGUCUCUGCCAAGCCGUAAGGCUAGGUAUAGGGGCUGUGGCCUGCCCAGUGCCGGAAGGUUAUGGGGAGGGGUUAGCCUUCUUCGUGAAGGCGAAGCUCCGAACUUAAGCCCCGGUGAACGGCGGCCGUAACUAUAACGGUCCUAUGGUAGCGAAAUACCUUGUCGGGUAAGUUCCGACGCGCAUGAAAGGUGUAACGACCUGAGCGCUGUCUCGACGAGAGAUCCGGUGAAAUAGCAAUGCCCGUGCAGAUGCGGGCUACCUGCAGCAGGACGGAAAGACCCCGUGGAGCUUUACUACAACUUGGCAUUGGAUUCUGGCACAUUAUGUAUAGGAUAGGUGGGAGGCUGUGAAGCAGGGGCGCCAGCUCUUGUGGAGCCAACCUUGGAAUACCACCCUUAAUGUGUUAGAAUUCUAACUCUCAACCCUUACCGGGUGAGAGGACAGUGUCAGGCGGGUAGUUUGACUGGGGCGGUCGCCUCCUAAAAAGUAACGGAGGCGCCCAAAGGUACCCUCAACGCGGUUGGAAAUCGCGUGUAGAGUGCAAAGGCAUAAGGGUGCCUUACUGCAUAGACCGACAGGUCGAACAGUCACGAAAGUGGGGCUUAGUGAUCCGGUGGUUGCGCGUGGAAGCGCCAUCGCUCAACGGAUAAAAGUUACCCCGGGGAUAACAGGCUGAUCUCUCCCGAGAGUCCACAUCGACGGGGAGGUUUGGCACCUCGAUGUCGGCUCAUCGCAUCCUGGGGCUGGAGAAGGUCCCAAGGGUUGGGCUGUUCGCCCAUUAAAGCGGUACGCGAGCUGGGUUCAGAACGUCGUGAGACAGUUCGGACCUAAUCCGCUGCAGGCGUUGGAGAUUUGAGGAGGUACACCCUUAGUACGCGAGGACCAGGGUGUGGGAACCUCUGGUUUACCGGCUGUCCCGCCAGGGGCAGGCGCCGGGUAGCUAUGUUCCUACGGGAUAAGCGCUGAAAGCAUCUAAGCGCGAAGCCCACUCCAAGAUAAGAUCUCCCAUCCUCCGCAAGGAGGAGUAAGGUCCCUGGAAGACUACCAGGUUGAUAGGCCCGAGGUGUAAGUGUGGUGACACACUUAGCUGACGGGUACUAAUAGACCGAGGACUUGACUUA
rnacentral:rRNA from 1 species